UUGGAUUCAUGCAACAAUACAACCCGCAAGAGCCAAAGACGCACAAAGGCUACGAUCUGCAUGCCAUGACCAUGGCGCAGCUGUACAAGGAGUUCGGUCUGGGAAAUGACACCAUCGAUUUUGUCGGUCACGCAGUUGCCCUU
rnacentral:ribozyme from 1 species